ensembl:lncRNA P2Y purinoceptor 1-like
AAUUUGUAUUGGUAUGUGUUGUAUAAAAGCAAUCAAAUCAAAUCCAUGAAUACACAGGAAAAGCUCAACUGGAUCAGUGUGUGUAUAAAAACACAGAAGGAUUCACUCUCGAUUUGAAGUUUCGGAGAGUCCACUGUAAUGACCGAGUGUUUUGGUACACAGACUGACAUAUAUAUCGCUCUACAGAGUAGUUAUGACGGUCUAGGGCUCUUAUUUCGUUCCCCACAGCUUGUCUGUGGCAGAGAGCCAGAAAUCCAAUAAAAGACCAGUUCUAUUUGUUGACCCAAAAGAACCGCCACAAUUGGUUGUGUCCGAGCGUCCCACCUCUGUGUCCCGCGGGAGAGACACUAAACUGAAGACUCGUCUAAGUUGGGUGAUGGUCAGACAGACUCUGGCAGAGAUAUUGUGAGGAUGGAAGCAGGACGCCUCUGUAUUGAGCAAGCAGUGGCUCGUUUCAUCAUCAUGGCAAACACCUCGGCUCUGAGCCUGAACUCCAGCAUCUCUGGGUGGCGUCGUCCGCUGUGGUACCAGUAUGAAGUGUGUGCGGAAGCUCCUCAUUGGUUCAUCUUCUACUUUGGAGUCAAAGUAUUGAACCUGGUUGCAGGCGUUCCCCUGAACACACUGGUGUUGUGGCAGAUUCUGAGGAAGAAGAGCGAAGGCUCAACAUCUGAUGUCUUCAUUUUCAACCUCUCUAUCCUGGAUGCCUAUUUCGGCCUCAUGACGCCGGUGGAUAUGGUCAACCGGCUGUACUUCAACAAUCCAUCCGUCUGGUACUCUCAGCGUUUCGCCUACGGGCUGAAAGACGUGACUCCGUUGUUUCUCACCUGUAUUUGUCUGGACAGGUACAUCGCUGUGGUCCAUCCCAUCCUCUUCACCGGGACCCGUGACACUCGCAUCCGGAUUGGCGUCUCGUUGCUGGUGUGGGGACUCAUCCUAGCCUACUCUUUGACCAAAUGCAUCUUAGGCAUCCUGAGCGUGAACGAGGUCUUCAGCGGCGUCAUCCUCUCGGCCUUCUUCAUCAUGGUGUUCUGCAACCUCUCCAUCAUCUGGGUCCUCAGGAAGAGCGUCGCAGGGAAAGAAGUCAUGAACCCGGUGAAGAAGAAGGCCUUCAAAAUGGUGCUUAUCAUCCUCGGCAUCAUCGUGGUGAACUAUCUGCCUCCUGUGGCUCUGCUGCCGUUUGCUUCCACCUUCUCUUUCGUGACGCUGCACUGUAGGGUUCUUCUCGGCGUGUUCUCCAUCAUGGACCUGAGCUGCACCAUCGAGCCUUUGCUCUACAUCUCUAAGAUGGAUCGAUCUGCAUUCUGUCAAUGCCUGCAGAGUCCCUCUAAGAAACCCAUCACCGUGAGCGUCUGAAAUGAAUGUCUGAUGUUAUGAGUGUGAUUCUUGACUCAGUGUAUCUGUCUAAUCCAGUGGUUCUCAACUGGUGCGUCUCAGGUCUGCUGUGAUUGGUCACUGAAAAAGGGAAAAAUACUAUUAACUGCAAAAGAGUAAAUAUAUAAUCAUUAUGACAGAUAGACUCAUCAACCAAAUAAAGAAAAGAGAAAACACCUUCCAUUCUUUUGCUACUGAUGUCCACUGAUACUCUGUCCAUCAAACUCUACAGUAUUUUGACACAAAUUCAUCCAACCACAGUAAGAUUGAUCUUUACUAGGGUAAAAGUCAAAUUAUACUUAUGGAUCAACAUGGGCAGGGUAUGUGACACUUACCGAG